CCUACGGGUGGCAGCAGUGGGGAAUAUUGGACAAUGGGGGGAACCCUGAUCCAGCCAUGCCGCGUGUGUGAAGAAGGCCCUCGGGUUGUAAAGCACUUUCAGUGAGGAAGAACGCCUGGUGGUUAAUACCCAUCAGGAAAGACAUCACUCACAGAAGAAGCACCGGCUAACUCCGUGCCAGCAGCCGCGGUAAUACGGAGGGUGCGAGCGUUAAUCGGAAUUACUGGGCGUAAAGCGCGCGUAGGUGGCUUGAUAAGCCGGUUGUGAAAGCCCCGGGCUCAACCUGGGAACGGCAUCCGGAACUGUCAAGCUAGAGUGCAGGAGAGGAAGGUAGAAUUCCCGGUGUAGCGGUGAAAUGCGUAGAGAUCGGGAGGAAUACCAGUGGCGAAGGCGGCCUUCUGGACUGACACUGACACUGAGGUGCGGAAGCGUGGGUAGCAAACAGGAUUAGAUACCCUUGUAGUC
rnacentral:rRNA from 1 species